ACAGGAUGCUCUACUUACCUGAGCAAAACCUAGCUCACCCACCUUUCUAUCAUGGGGAUUACUGGAGCUGCUACUGAUAGAUUCUAGUCUGCAUGUGCAAAGGAAACCAGGAUUAGAAGGAAUAAUGAAGAUUUGAAGGUGGAAGGAGGAGGAAGACAGUCAACGUCAGGGUGAUGCAAUGUGAAAAAGACCUGAUCAGCUAAGUCUGAAGAGGAAAGGGGGCAUGACCACGGAGUGCAAGCAGCUUCUAGAAGCUGGAAAAGGCAAGAAAACAAAUUCUGCACCUAGAGCCUCUGGAGAGGAACACAGCUGUUGCUGACAUCUUGAUUUGAGCCCAGUGAGAACCCUCUGAACUUCUGAUUUUCAGAAAUUGGUGCUUCCCAAGCUUUUACCACCGUGGUCCAUCAUCUGACUGAAAUGUGGUUCUAAGUGAAGCACACUGCUCCAGGACUGGCUGGACCAGAGCAGAGGACUGCGGGACCUGCAGCUGUCCUGGUUGGGCUCCAUUUGUCCAUUAAAGGAAUCUAAGAUGGCAUUAGCACUUUUAGAAGUCACAUCAAUUACUGGCUGAAACGGAGCUUCCUUUGCAAUGAACACACCGUGGACUGUUUCUUCGCCAAGUGUCCCCUGUCCUAUCCUUGUGCAGCAGCCAGAAUGCAAGCGCAGGAUUUUGCAUUCAUCUUUGUUAAGUUUCAAUCUGUAAAUUCUGACCCAUCCCUCAAGCCAGCUGUUACCCCUGGAACCUUGC